UACGGGGGGGGCAAGCGUUUGUUCGGAAUUACUGGGCGUAAAGGGCUCGUAGGUGGUCAACUAAGUCGGACGUGAAAUCCCUCGGCUUAACCGGGGAACUGCGUCCGAUACUGGAUGACUUGAGUUCGGGAGAGGGAUGCGGAAUUCCAGGUGUAGCGGUGAAAUGCGUAGAUAUCUGGAGGAACACCGGUGGCGAAGGCGGCAUCCUGGACCGACACUGACGCUGAGGAGCGAAAGCCAGGGAGCAAAGCGGG
rnacentral:rRNA from 1 species